AUUCUUAGCAAGAUGGCUCGUGAUAUUCUUGCAAUUCCAGCUACUACUGUGGCAUCGGAAUCAGCAUUUAGCGUUGGCGGAAGGGUAAUUGAUGAGACCCGUGCUGCUUUGCUUCCUGAUGUGGUCGAAGCUUUGAUAACAACUGGAGAUUGGUUACCUUUGAAAAAGAAAAGAAAAGUAUUUGGAGAAGAUUUGGGUGAUUCUUCUAAAGUUCCCAAGUUAGGGUGAUGUAUUUGAAAAAUUGUGAAACAUGAGAGCCAUGAAGACUAUUGUAAUCUACAGGACUUCAUUAGUUGGUUGAUGUAUUUGGAAUUUAUGUUUGAUUGGAC